GGUUGUGUAGUGUAGUGGUCAUCACACUGGAUUUUGAGUUGACAGAAAAAUUGUCAGAUUUUGUUCGAAAUCCUUCCAGUAACCCCGGUUCGAACCCGGGCACGACCU